AUUGAACGCUGGCGGCAGGUUUAACACAUGCAAGUCGAGCGGGGGAAGGUAGCUUGCUACCGGACCUAGCGGCGGACGGGUGAGUAAUGCUUAGGAAUCUGCCUAUUAGUGGGGGACAACAUCUCGAAAGGGAUGCUAAUACCGCAUACGUCCUACGGGAGAAAGCAGGGGAUCUUCGGACCUUGCGCUAAUAGAUGAGCCUAAGUCGGAUUAGCUAGUUGGUGGGGUGAAGGCCUACCAAGGCGACGAUCUGUAGCGGGUCUGAGAGGAUGGUCCGCCAAACUGGGACUGAGACACGGCCCAGACUCCUACUGGAGGCGGCAGUGGUGAAUAUUGGACAAUGGGGGGAACCCUGAUCCAGCCAUGCCGCGUGUGAAGAAGGCCUUAUGGUUGUAAAGCACUUUAAGCGAGGAGGAGGCUACUCUAGUUAAUACCUAGGGAUAGUGGACGUUACUCGCAGAAUAAGCACCGGCUAACUCUGUGCCAGCCGCCGCAGUAA
rnacentral:rRNA from 1 species